UACAGAGGUCUCAAGCGUUGUUCGGAAUUACUGGGCGUAAAGCGCAUGUAGGCGGCCAAGCAGGUCGGAUGUGAAAUCCCUCGGCUCAACCAAGGAAGUGCAUUCGAAACCGCAUGGCUCGAGUCCCGGAGAGGAAGGUGGAAUUCUCGGUGUAGAGGUGAAAUUCGUAGAUAUCGAGAGGAACACCGGUGGCGAAAGCGGCCUUCUGGACGAGGACUGACGCUGAGAUGCGAAAGCGUGGGGAGCAAACAGG
rnacentral:rRNA from 1 species